rnacentral:rRNA from 1 species
GACGAACCGUGCGAACGUUGUUCGGAAUCACUGGGCUUAAAGGGCGCGUAGGCGGGCUGUCAAGUCUGGGGUGAAAUGCUGCGGCUCAACCUCGGAACUGCCUUUGAUACAGCACGUCUCGAGUCCGGAAGAGGUGGGUGGAAUUCCUAGUGUAGAGGUGAAAUUCGUAGAUAUUAGGAAGAACACCGGUGGCGAAGGCGGCAUCCUGGACCAACACUGACGCUGAGGAGCGAAAGCCAGGGGAGCAAACGGG